CACAACUUGCAUAUUGCCAAACCCUUUGGAAGCUAGGAUUUCUGAGUUCUGCAAUUAAAAGAUAAAAAUCAAAUUCUUGUACCUGCUAAAAGAUGGGGAAUGGGACAAAGUGAAAAUAUUGUGUGGUCUAAGAGGAACAAAUAUUGCAAGUAUUGACAAGUUCUGUUCUGGACAGGAAGGAGGAGGAAAAAGAUGAUGAUGAUGAUGAAAGUGAAGAUGGAAAAUGUUAAGAUGGAGGGCUUUCCCACUGGCCAGCCUUUCCAGGGGGCAAAGACCGAGAAGCACAAGAGCAGCUGAAUUUCUACCUGUGUGGAAGGACGUUAUUUCAAGCCCCCAAAAGGGAAGUCCCAAAACAUCCGCCCGAGCACCGCGUUGACCCAAGCCGUGUGUGGUUCGCCAGCCGUGUUCGCAUCCCCAUGGAUCUGCAAAGAACAAAAAGGAGAAAGCAAUUGAUCACUGUCCCUGUUUGGAAGUCAUCAUCUUCAACUUGAAGAGCAUUUGCUUUUUACCUGACCGGAGUUCACUUAGGUUGGCAUUGUGGGGCUCACUACUCUCUACCCGGG